rnacentral:lncRNA from 1 species
CGUGUGAAUAAAACCUUUAAAACACACCAUUAUAUAUUUCCAACAUAGUGUGUGUGAUGAUUAGACAAUUGUUUGAACACUAUAAUCAAUUGAAACGUGCUCAUUACCAGCUUCUAGGAAACCAUGAUUUUUAAAAAAAUAAAAUAUAUCCAGCAGCUUUCAUAAAAUGAACUGUGUAGUCUUAUAGUAUGCAAAAAACUUCACAAACCAAAUGACUCUAUCAUUUUAUUUAAAUGUGUACAGUAGUGUUGCUGUAGUCUUAAUCAUGUUUUUUUUUAAAUAUAGUGCAGAAUUCCCACACAUGAGGCAAAUCUGGUGUACAAAUAUGGAGUUUGAUGUCAAUAUGCAAAGACUUUAUUGCUUUUCUAAUUGCGAUCUCUUCUGCUAUGAUACCAAAGGGAAUAUACUGUUUCAGCUAACCAGUGCCCACCAAAGUACCAUUCUCUCCUGCGUCUAUUCAUCAUACUCCAAUGCUUUGCUUACCUCCUCCAGGGACUCUGAAAUAAAAUCUUGGAAUGACCAGGGCUGUUUGUUGCAUGUGUUUCAUGGCCAUACCAGGUCUGUCACACACAUCCUCCUCCACCCAAACACUUUGUCUUUAUUUAUCUCUGGAUCUUUGGAUGGGACAGUGAAACUCUGGUCCCUGGAUACAAUGGAGCUGUUUUACAGUUUAUCAUUGUUCACUGAAGGAAUUGUUUGGAUGGGCCUGACUGAGGAUAAGUUGCUGUACUGCUCUUCUGCCCGCAAUCUUCAUGUGUAUGACUUGAACAAUUUUACCAAAUUCUGGACUCGUGUCAGCAGUCAGAUUAAGGCUCUGUCCCUCUGUGGUGCCAAUGGGAAAUCCAGCAGGGUGAUAGCUAUGGGCUCUGAUAACAGUUUACGAAUUUUCUCUCUGCAUAAUGGGACAAAGUUAUGUACCGUGCUGCCGCCUCCCUAUCCCUCUCCACUCCAGUCAGUUCUCGGCUUUGCCUAUAAUCGAACCAGUGGAACAAUUUACUUCCUCCUGACUUCUUGGGAUAUAUGGGUCUACACAGCAAGUGUUCAAGGCAUAGGGUAUGGAUUCCAUGUCGGCCAGGGAUGGCAAGAGGCCAUCGCCUCCCUGAGAGUGGAGCUGCUUAGUCCUCUGUCUGUCCAUUUCAGUUGUGACCUAUAGUACUGCCACUCCAUUCCUGAACCUAUCUGGAGUGAUACUUAAACUAGACUUGUGGUGGAAGGGGAUUGUGCUGUGGGAAAACAUUCACCUAAUACAAGUACUAUAAUGCAAU